UUCGGGCUGAGGAGGGGCUGGGGAAGGCGGGAAAAUGGAAAGGCCUCGCUUGCCCCGCGAAGGACCUAUAGGAAUGCGGCGGGGCGCGGCGCGGCCGCUGAGUGGCCGAGAUGGGGCGGAGGCGGGUCGCGGCUGGGCGGAGCGACGGGUGGCCGCCCGGCUGGUCCGUCUGCGGAGGCUGUGCUGGGACUGCAGCGACGGCCCUCAAAAGUCCGAGCUUCUGUGGGUUUCCUCAGGAGCUUUCCGGCAUUGGCCAAGCUUUGAAAGAGCUUUAGGAACGAUAAAGAACUAAUAGAAACUUAAAGUAGUAUCACCCUCGCUUGACUGAAAUUUUGUGUGGAAACUAAGCUCAACGUGUCUGAGAUAAGGAAACUGAGGCAUAGAAAAAUAACGUGUCAAAUAGAGGCUUCCAGCCAGGAUCAAAUACAAUUACCAGUACAAACAGAAAAACCAACAGAAGAAAAAAGAAAACAAAUGAUUUUUGACCUAUUACUUAUCAGGUGCUUCAGGAGGAAGACAAAGAGAUGCCUGUGAUCUUUCAUCUUGAGGACCUUGGACGUUUCCUAACAGAAACCAGCCAGCAGUGCUUUUUUACAGCCAGCAGGCAGGGAGUUUCCAAAGGCAGGACAGGGAGCAGUUAAAGAGGCAGAGUUUCACCCCAAGCAGUGAGAGUGGCACCAUCCAGCUCCCUCUCCGGGAACCGUACUCAGCAUCUCAGCAUCAAGCUGCCAGAGCUCUGAACUGUGCCUAUUUGGAAUCCAUCGGGAGUUGUUUAAUGUGUAUGGUGUGAGUACCUUGAUCUUCAUUUGAGGAAUCCACCCCUCCCCAUGCAGCCCAGGUGCUUCCAGAGAAGCUGACCUACUCCCUGUGCCAAAAUAAAUGAUCAAGCAAGGAAACAGGAAAUCUUGGUCAAAUUUCCGGCCCAGGGUCCACAACAUAGAGAUUAGGACCUUGGGAGAAGCAGAUCCAGCAAACAGGAAACAAGCAAUGAAUAAAAAUUCCUUUUGCUCCACAUCCUCACCAGCAUUUGGUGCUGACAGUGUUCUGCAUUUUGGCCAUUCUCAUAGGUAUGUAGUGGGUCUACUUAUCUUUGCAGUUUUUACCCUUGUCCACCUCUCCACCCUCAUCAUUCCUUACAAUAGCUUAUCUUUUUCAGAAAGACCCAUGGAAUUUGAGAGCUGGGCUGUAGGUGGCACAAACUAAGCAACACUAGACACAUGAUAGAGGGAAAGACUGAGAAAGGACUGGCUCAAGUCAUGUGGGAGACCUGGGAAAAGGAACAAGGUGGCACCCCCUCAAGCUAAUAUUCUUUAAAUAGCUGAGGGCAGAAAAAAAUUCAUUUUCUAUUAAUAUAAAAUGUAUAGCUCGUUAUGGUUAAAAUAAUUUAUUACAUGCAUUGAAUAUAACAAUAUUUCCACUUAUUUGGAAUUGUCUUUCAUUUUACAUCACCUGGAACUUGAAUAGCAAUAUUACUACUCAUCAAGCAUAGAGGUAAAUUACAGCCACAAAGUCUUACUCAAAAUAUACUGAAUAUUACAAGUUCUUUUGUUUUUGUUUUUUCUAGUUUAUAUAUCACAAAAACAGUUCUAACUUUUCUGAAGUUCUUAUUCUUUCUUCAUUUUUCUUUUGGGAAUUUCUGAGCUAGACAACCUCUUGUAAGACACGUCCAUGGCUUUAAAAUGUAGAAAAUAACCAUCUGUCCCCAAAAAUUGUGUUAGAAAUUUGGAGUAGAAUACCAAACUCAAAUCCUACCCCCACCUCUUCUUCUGGCUGGCUUACCUGAGGGAGUAUGCACACCUGUACUAUGUCCCAAUGAGAACCCCAGAACCAUCUUAUUAGUAAGCAGGAAGUACACAACUUAAAGUGAAGCUUGAGUCAAGGCUGGGUGGAGGCCAAGAUAUCUAAGUGAGGCCUCUUGCUUUUCCAAUCCCAAAUCUAAGUCCUGUGACCUCCUCAAGUGCCAGAAGAGUAAGAGUAAGGAUAAGAAUAAGACUCAGGUUCUUAGGUAUUAAUAGCUGAGCUUAAGUCCACCUACCCGACCAGGUGCCAGGAUGAGAUUGGACUGCCAGACCCAUGAACUUAGGAAUCAAGAGGGAAAAAGAGGAAGUUUAAGCCUCCUUAGCAGAGUAGUCCACCCUCACUCCUUUACCCCCACCCCGCCUCUUGAUUUGCCUACUACAUGGAGAAAAUAUAUGCAAAACAGCCUGCUGCUCCUGGAGUAGGAAAUGAAAUAGCAGGCAUUAGGAUCCAUACGAAAGGAAAGUGUCUUUCAGUGUCACGAUCCCUCCCUCUAGGGAAGUGUCCCCAGAGUCUCUGAGCAGACUAGUCACUUCUUCCAUAUGGAACAUCUAAUAAGAGGGUAGAUAGAGGCAGAAGCUUAGAUGGAAGUUUCCUCCUUCAUGAGCUCUGGCAGAAAUGCAAUGAGACAUGCUACACAACACCCCGCAUAACCCAUUAUUUAUUCUCUCCUUAACAAAGGGCCUUAAUAAUCAAACCGCAGUUCAGCCAGGAUUGUCCAACUAGGAGAGAUUAGCAGCUCCUUCAUUUACUACCACUGCUCCUCACUGUAACUUCCUGGGACCAAUGAGAUGCACAGCUAAGUUAGUUCUCCAAAGAGUUUCUGUAAUGGGUCAUAACAGGUCAUUAAUCAAUUUAGCUUCAGGGCUGUCCUGUACCCUAGGCUAAAUAUUCACUCCCAGCCUUUCUCACCUUCUGAGAUGGCCCACACUCUCUGUAGAGUGUGUUUCUCUCUAAAUAAAUCCACUUCUUACCUAUCAAAAAAAAAAUUCACUCCCUAGUUUAUUUCCCAUCUGAAAUUAUGCCUAAUAAUAUUGUCCAAAACUGCUCAACAGAGAAGAUACUUUUAAACGUCCAAAUAAAACAACAAAGAAUGGUUGAAAAUGGAAUAAUGUGAAGCCCUCCCCAUUAUUAAAUUACCACAGAAAGUCAAGCCCAAAAUGAAUUCUUCUUCCUAGUGUAAAUUAAACUCCAAAGACCGUAAAGUGCAAUUACUCUUCUCCCUAGUUUCCUGAUCUUUUCAGCCUCUGUCAGAAGAUUCUCGCUCAAAUGCCUUGGGGUUUGGACUCCCUCAGCAGCCACUGCACUCUGAGCCUUCUUCCAUUACCAUGGGUGUAGCACCUUCAGUACCAUCAAAAUUGAAGUAAUCCACCCGAAUAUCUUGUGUCCCAUAAAUGUAAACGCAAAUGUGACUCCUGCAGUAACAGCAUUUUGCAAACAAAAUGAUAUUCCUAGAACCCAGUGUACGGACCCUCGUUGCUGUUGCUUGUUAGAGAUUGCAGCAGACUUAGUGUUAUCUGGGAGAAGGGGAGUAACGCACAGGGAACAAAAAAUGGAGAACAUCAUUUUGGUUUUCGCCACGCCAAGAUGCCUAUUAGAACACGUCAGUUUUCCAACUACUAUAUGUGAAUUUAAAUUCAGAUGGGAUAAAUUUCCCAUCAAGAGGUUAACUGUGACAUAGGACAUAGCUGCUUUUAAUAAGGACAGGGUUGACUUUCUACAUAACAUCUUCCUCCUUCUCCCAAAAAGGGACCCACAUCUCCUCUGUCCAGCUGACCACAUCUGAAGCUUCAGGGGCAAUUCUUAUUGGCCUAAGAGUAAUCCCCUCAUGCUUGCCAGAGAUUAACUCAAGAAUGGGCAUAAGGGCCCAACUGGGUACAGAGACAUGGGGAGGUUUACAGUGGUAGCAUCUUCAGUGUCUACUAGAUCACACCCAAAUCUUCUUUCUUUCUCUUGAUAUCCUUCCCAUGUUUUGAACACUUUUGUUUCCAUUUCCCUUUUGAAUCUGGUGUUUCUGGCCUGGAAGCCCAGUGUUAAAUUGAGCCUGGUCUCUGUUGAGUGACACCACUUCCUUUUCCAUAGUGAAUGCAGCAUGGCACAUUUGAUAAUAGGCAUCCCUGCAGUCCAUGCUUAUCUGAUCUUCUCAGGGUAUUUGUCCAUCUCCAGUAGGACCCCAAGUCUUUUUAAACUUUAUGACACAGCUGCUGCCACUGUAUCCUGUUCUAGAACCCCUUAGGUGUAUUAACCUUGCUUCCAAGAUCCUCUUUCCUGAAAUGUAUCUUAGCUGGAUUAUCAUUCAACAAAUUCCUGAAUCUGAAGCUUCUAUUGAUGCCUGCAUAGGCCAUAAUCUCAGGAUCAUAGAGGGUCUAAUAUAUCCUCUGACAUGUGCUCCUCUAAAGCCCUCUUCCUUUACCUUUCAAAUUCUCUAGUCCUUGAGUGACUUGUGCCAUUUCAUGUAUUACUUUCUGCCAUUUCUUUUUCCACUUCUGUUCCAUUUCUUUCUAUAAUUCCUACUCCUUUCAUGGAGGCCUGAGUUGCUGGGUUUGUUCUUUUUUUUUUUAAUAUUUAUUUGUUUAUUUGGCUGCGUUGGGUCUUAGUUGCGGCACUUAGUUGCGGCACUUAGUUGCGGAUCUUCAUUGCAGCACGCGGGAUCUUUCAUUGCCUCGUGCAGGCUUCUCUCUAGUUGUGGCGUGUGGGCUCCAGGGAUCGAACCCGUGUCUCCUGUAUUGGAAGAUGGAUUCUUAACCACUGCACCACCAGAGAAGUCCUGAGGCCUGAGUUUUUAAAUUUUAACAUACUACUUAAAUGGGCCCAGUUCUUUCAAUAACACAGAUAAACCUCCAGCUGCAUUCUUUUAUCUUCGCUUCCUUCCCUCCUCCCUCCCUCCCUCCCUUCCUUCCUUUCUUUCUCUUUCUAGGCCCAUGCAUUUGCUUCCUGACAUACUCCAUAGACUCUCUCUUGAGAGGCUCCCAUAGUGAAAAAAUGUCAGAAUAUUCUGCAUCUACCACAAGAUCCUCAGUUCAAAUAUUGCUUGAGUGGAGACAAUCCUGCAUAGGUCUUCUCCCAUCAGUUUCCACCCAUGCCUGAUCUCUACCUAUUGUUGCUCUGCCUGACUCUUUCUUUUUGGUGUUGUCUUCCCUGUACCUUUAAAAUAUUUUUCUAAUAUCAUUCAUUUUCUAGACAUACUUUCUUAUAACAAGAGCCAUACCUACUUCCCUACAUAUAAUGUCUGUGUAAUCUUGAAAAUCAUCAAGUAGGGCCUGAAAUAACAUCAAUACCAACAGCAAUGACAAUAACAGCUAAUAGUUUACUGAGCUCCUACUACACACCAAGCACUGUUCUAAGCAUCUUAUAAUCCUCACAAUUCCAUGAAAUGACGACUAUUAUCACACCCAUUUUACAGAUGUAGAAACUGAAGCACAGAGAGGUUAAGUAAUUUGCCCAAGAUCACACAGCCAGUAAGUGGCAGAGCCCCGUCACGGUCUUUCACUCAUAUCUGCCCACCCUUCAGUCACUUACCAGUCCUUUCAUAAUACAACACCCUUUUAUUGUUUGGCCUAGUCAUCUCUCAAUGCUUCGAAAUUGGGUUCUCCUUUUAAAAAGCAAAAAUAAAGAUUUACAACAGUCUAUCACAGCCCAUCCUAAAUCUUGAACAUAAUUAAUUUCUUUUAAUAGGGCUACGUCUCUAUUAUUCCACAGGGAAAGGUAUUAAAGUUAGAUUCUAUAAUUUUUUUUAAAGAUAACCUCUAUAAUGAGGAUCAUUUGAUUGCAUGCUUACCAGGUUUUCCCACAUAUACAUUACAUUUAAAUCCUUAGUUCCAAGUUAAUUUUCACUUCCUGAUAAAAUAUUAUCUGAGCAUGUACUAAAGAAUGAAUUUUUGCAGCUUAGUGAGAUAAGUCAUUCAUACUCUAACAAGGAUAUUUUAAACAGCUGGUUAUUCCUCCAGGAAAACGGUAUUCAGAUCAGACUAAUUUCCUAAAUGACAUAAAAGGAGUGAGCAGUUUUCAGGUGUCUUAUGUAACUGAGUGCUGAUGGCUUAGGACUAGAUGACGGAAUGAUAGAGAAAGGGGAAGCUGAAUCUUUGAAAUGGUAAAAAUUAUCAUUUAAAAAUCACAGUAAAUAUCACCUGCCAGGUAUUAAAAUGAUGAAAGGGCUUAUUUUUUCCACACUCCUAUUGUGAUAGGUUUUAUAAACAAAUAAUUUUAAGUACACUAACCUGUUAGGCACCAGUAAUUAAUUGAGAAAAAACAAACACAAAUAUUCUUGAAGAGAGAGCAAACCCUGAGGGAGUUUAGUCCUCUGAAAUUAUGCUAAGUGUAUAUUGAAAUCAUUCUGGAAGCCUCCUACCCCAAAUAAAAAUCCCCUUUUUCUCUCUCACACAUAACUUCUGUGGCAGCUGACUGACAGGAUUAUCUGCUAACACAGGUGGACCUGGCGAUGGCUAAAACCAUCCGGAAUAUUUUAGGUUUUCACUGGAAGAAUUAAGAGUCUAUAAUAUCUGUGAAUGGAAAGGGCACUAAGUCUAGUGCAGAUAUUAACUUUGCCACCAAGUAGUUAUGGGAUUUUGUUCUGUCACCUCAUUUCUUUGAAUUUGUUUCCCAAUCUAUCAAAUACAAAAAUGAGAAUUAAAUGAUCUCCAAGGCCCGUUCUAACAACUCCCAAGUUCCACAAUUUUAAGAUGGUUUUGAACACUUCUUCACAAAGAAGUCUCUAACAUUUAAUCCUGUAAGAUAAACUAAAAAUAUGUAGGAACCAGUGAUAUGGGGAUAGGAUAUUUAAUAUCUCCCAAUAGAUACUCCACUAUUGUUAAACUACCUUCUCUGUUGCACUCCAUCAGCUAUCACAGCUCUGAAAAAGGGAGCAGAGCAGAUGCCAUCACAAGAAUGAAGAGGAUAUGGUACAUAAGGAAAGCUCUUGUCAUACAAGAAGAAUAAAAAUCCACCUCUUUUUUAAAACGUUUUUAUUGAAAUAUAGUUGAUUUACAAUGUUGGGUUAGAAAAAUCCAUCUCUUGCAGCCCUAAAAAAUGAUGGAAAAAAGGACAGAAAAAGGUAAUCAGAUCCGGUGUGCUUACUUCCUGUCCCUUCUCAGCAUGAAAACUAGAAUUGGAGGUAUAUAGUUGACGUAUUCACAUAUUAUAGACAUAGGGUAAUUCAAGAAAAAUGGGGAUAGUGGUUUGCUUCUCUGGGCAUGCCUGUGAGAGGCUGAGUCUUCCAGGAACUCUGCUUUCAGCUUAUGGGAUGUUCAACAUGACAUAGGGAGAAUAAUGCAACAUUGGUGGAGGGAGGUGGCUCAACAGAUGAGCCUGAAGCAAAGCUCCUGGCUCACCAAGGCCUACGUGGGAUAUUCUGGGAAUCCAGAAGUUCCCAUAUGUCUCAGUGAGAAGAUGGAAUACCAUCAUGAGGAUCAAUGGACCUGCAGAGGCCUGGGGUCAGUACAGAGGUUGCAGUGUAUAAGGCAGUGUGGACUUCAGUAAAGAAAGCAGCACAACUUCUCAAAAGGACAAAAUGAGCAGUUUUAUCUCUGAGGCUAACAGUUCUGCUUUCAGAGUAUACCAGACACUCCAUACCAAAGGAAAA